rnacentral:rRNA from 1 species
AACGAACGCUGGCGGCAGGCCUAACACAUGCAAGUCGAACGCCCUAGCAAUAGGGAGUGGCGCACGGGUGCGUAACGCGUGGGAAUAUGCCCUUCACUGCGGAAUAACGUUUGGAAACGAACGCUAAUACCGCAUAAUGACUCCGGUCCAAAGAUUUUAUCGGUGAAGGAUUAGCCCGCGUUAGAUUAGCUAGUUGGUGAGGUAAUGGCUCACCAAGGCGACGAUCUAUAGCUGGUCUGAGAGGAUGAUCAGCCACACUGGGACUGAGACACGGCCCAGACUCCUACGGGAGGCAGCAGUGAGGAAUAUUGGACAAUGGGCGCAAGCCUGAUCCAGCCAUGCCGCGUGAGUGAAGAAGGCCUUCGGGUUGUAAAGCUCUUUCAGAUGUGAAGAUAAUGACGGUAGCAUCAGAAGAAG